GAUGAACGCUGGCGGCGUGCCUAACACAUGCAAGUCGAACGUGAGGGUAUAGCAAUAUGCCUGAAAGUGGCGAACGGGUGAGUAACACGUAGGUAACCUGCCGCGCAGAGGGGGAUAACCAUUGGAAACGAUGGCUAAGACCGCAUGGUCCUUAUCGGACGGGAGUCUGAUGGGGUAAAGCCUUGGCGCUGCGCGAGGGGCCUGCGCCCGAUUAGCUAGUUGGUGAGGUAACGGCUCACCAAGGCGAUGAUCGGUAGCUGGUCUGAGAGGAUGGAUCAGCCACACGGGAACUGAGACACGGUCCCGACUCCUACGGGAGGCUG
rnacentral:rRNA from 1 species